GUUUAUUCAAGAAGAUGGUGUGACUCGUAAUUGGUGCCUGCCGUUAUGUGGCUAGGAAAAUAGCAUCGUUCCUGCGCCCUGAGGAUGUGGAAGAGACCAUGUUGGCUUGCAAGAACCGGACAACUCUAGCUGGUAUCUCAAAAAAGCCAGCAGGGUCUGAAUCCAUUCCUUGCUCAGUCAGCAAAAAAUAUCCUCAUGCGGUUAGGUCCGAAGUCAGAACCCAGGAACCAAACUCCUGAUGAAAUAAAAUAAAAAGGACAGCGGAGCAGGAAAAUGACGGCUUGUUUGACGAAAUCCUGCAGCUGCAGGAAGUGAACAGUCCUGAGAAUCCCUUAUUCUGCCCUGCCCGUCUUUCAUUGUUCACUAUGAAAAUAAAUUUAAAUAAAGAA